rnacentral:rRNA from 1 species
CCCUUAGAUGUUCUGGGCCGCACGCGCGCUACACUGAUGCAUUCAACGAGCCUAUCCUUGACCGACAGGUCCGGGUAAUCUUUGAAUCUGCAUCGUGACGGGGAUAGAUUAUUGCAAUUAUUACUCUUCAACGAGGAAUUCCUAGUAAGCGCCAGUCAGCAGCUUGCGCUGAUUACGUCCCUGCCCUUUGUACACACCGCCCGUCGCUCCUACCGAUGGGUGAUCCGGUGAAUGAUUCGGACUUCAGCGGCUCCCCUGGGGUGCGCCGGAGAAAGUUUUGUGAACCUUAUCACUUGGAGGAAGGAGAAGUCGUAACA